AGCUUUGCGCAGUGGCAGUAUCGUAGCCCAUGAGGUUUAUCCGAGGCGCGAUUAUUGCUAGUUGAAAACUUUACCCAAUACCCCGCCUAGACGACUUGAAAUAUAGUCGGCGACGGCAAUUUUUGACGGUCUCUAAGGAGA
rnacentral:snRNA from 1 species